UUGAACGCUGGCGGCAGGCCUAACACAUGCAAGUCGAGCGGAUGAAGGGAGCUUGCUCCUGGAUUCAGCGGCGGACGGGUGAGUAAUGCCUAGGAAUCUGCCUGGUAGUGGGGGAUAACGUCCGGAAACGGGCGCUAAUACCGCAUACGUCCUGAGGGAGAAAGUGGGGGAUCUUCGGACCUCACGCUAUCAGAUGAGCCUAGGUCGGAUUAGCUAGUUGGUGGGGUAAAGGUCUACCAAGGCGACGAUCCGUAACUGGUCUGAGAGGAUGAUCAGUCACACUGGAACUGAGACACGGUCCAGACUCCUACGGGAGGCAGCAGUGGGGAAUAUUGGACAAUGGGCGAAAGCCUGAUCCAGCCAUGCCGCGUGUGUGAAGAAGGUCUUCGGAUUGUAAAGCACUUUAAGUUGGGAGGAAGGGCAGUAAGUUAAUACCUUGCUGUUUUGACGUUACCAACAGAAUAAGCACCGGCUAACUUCGUG
rnacentral:rRNA from 1 species